UGGGGAAUUUUGCGCAAUGGGGGCAACCCUGACGCAGCAAUGCCGCGUGGGUGAAGAAGGCCCUAGGGUUGUAAACCCCUUUCAGCGGGGAAGAUAAUGACGGUACCCGCAGAAGAAGCUCCGGCUAACUCCGUGCCAGCAGCCGCGGUAAUACGGAGGGAGCUAGCGUUGUUCGGAAUUACUGGGCGUAAAGCGCGCGUAGGCGGACUUUCAAGUCAGGGGUGAAAUCCCGAGGCUCAACCUCGGAACUGCCUUUGAUACUGUAAGUCUUGAGUCCGAGAGAGGUGAGUGGAAUUCCUAGUGUAGAGGUGAAAUUCGUAGAUAUUAGGAAGAACACCAGUGGCGAAGGCGGCUCACUGGCUCGGUACUGACGCUGAGGUGCGAAAGCGUGGGGAGCAAACAGGAUUAGAUACCCCCGUAGUCC
rnacentral:rRNA from 1 species